rnacentral:rRNA from 1 species
GACGAACGUUGGCGGCGUGCUUAAUACAUGCAAGUCAACUGAAGCACCGGUAGCAAUACUGGUGUGGAGGUGGCGCACGGGUGAGUAACACGUAGGUAAUCUGCCUUCAGGUCUGACAUAACUCCGGGAAACCGAAGCUAAUAUCAGAUGAUGCAGCGGCUUGACAUCAAGACAGUUGUUAAAGCUUCGGCGCCUGAAGAUGAGCCUGCGCUGAUUAGCUAGUUGGCGGGUAACGGACCCGACCAAGACAACGAAUCAGUAGCUGGUCGUGAGAGGA